AUACGGAGGGUGCAAGCGUUGUUCGGAAUUACUGGGCGUAAAGCGCGGGCAGGUGGUCUGUUAAGUCGUUUGUGAAAAUCCGGGGCUCAACCCCGCGAAAUGCAAGCGAUACUGGCAGACUGGAGAUCGGUAGAGGCUAGCGGAAUUCCUGGUGUAGCGGUGGAAUGCGUAGAUAUCAGGAAGAGCACCUGUGGCGAAGGCGGCUAGCUGGGCCGAGUCUGACACUCAUCCGCGAAAGCGUGGGGAGCAAACAGGAUUAGAUACCCCAGUAGUCC
rnacentral:rRNA from 1 species